UUUAGAACAUACGCUUUCACUUGAUGGAUCAUAUCAAACUUAACUGGAGAAAAAACUUCAGCAAUAUGCCUGCAGCAGAAUUUCUAGUGAAGUCAAGACAUGCAUGCAAACCACUAUCAGACUUUAAAAGCUGAAAAGGUAAAAUCUGCUGGCUAUCAAACUAGACCUGUUCACUCAAGAUACUAAUGCAAGGCAAAAAGGAUGCCAACCACCAAAAAUGCAAGAUCAUGGCAUCCACAGAACUCCAAGGAAUGCAUCUGGAAUUCCCAAUUCCUUCCAAAUAGGAAGGAAGAUGUUACAUCUCGAGUCUUGGAAUCAAACAGAACACUUCCAGGUUCUGAAGUUGUGACCACAGAGAGUACGCUUUCAUGUCCAUAUUAUUCCUUUAAAGUACCUAACUUUUAAGGCAGCCUGCAAGUACAUCCCUUAAUCUCAACAGAUCCUCCAUUCACGUCUGUAUCUCUAAUAUCUUCACCAACUGCAUGCAUAUGUAUUUACUCCAGGACUACUUGGGCAGUGGGAACUCAUGACCUACUUUACUUUCCCGGCUGUGCAAUCAUACCUAUCACCUCUCUACUGACGGCCUGUUUACCUCAAAUGCUGUUUGUCUUCCUACUUCACAUCUCAAGGCACAGGAUUUCUUCCUGCCACUCGCACCUUAGAAUUAAUACCCCAUUUUUGUUUAGCUCUAUUUAUUUCCAUGCUAUCAUGACUUUAUCAAUAAUUAAAAAGAUAGUUAUUCUAAAAGAUGUUACUACUUUUUUUUUUUUUUAACUUUACUAAAAAAAGUUACUACAGAAAACGACACUGCGGUAGACAGCUUCAUGGUGAACUACCACCAUUAUUAACAACUCUGGAUAUACAAAACAGAGUUACGACAGGUUUAACACACGCAGCCACUGCCCAGGCACACCAAGCAGCCCUCACGCAGAAAAUUACAGCGCCCCAAAACCUCCCACGUGAUUUUGUAGCAACUUGCUGAGGCGGACAGGCUGCCGCCCAGCCACCAACCGUGCCCACAGGAAGAGCAAACUUCGAGGAACCAUGCCAGCUUCACACAGGGGCGGUUACCCCAAACCAGGCGUGCUUUCAGAGUGACUCGCUGCAGCAAGCGAGCAAAAGAGAGCCCAAAGUUGUCUUGGACAGGCUUCGGCAGCAAGCACACCCCAAGCCCCCCAUGCACACACCCCCAAACACGUAUCCCUAAGCAUCCCCCAAGCACACCCCAAACAUUCAUCCAAGAACCUUGUAAUCAACUCAUAAACACCCCUCCAAGCACACACAGACCUCAAGCAACCUCAAAACACCCCCCUAAUGCCCCCAAACAUUCCUCCAAGCACCUGAGCAACCCCUAAACACCCCCCAAGCACUCCCCAAGCACCCCCUACGCACAGACCCCAAGCAUCCCCCAAGUCCCCCAUGCGCAUACCCCCAAUCACGCCAACCUAAACACCCCCCAAGCACCCCUCAUGCUCAGACCCCAAGUAGACCCCCCCAAACACCCCAAAAGCACACACCAAGCCCCUCCCCACACUGCCCCAAACACACCCCAAACAGUCCUCCAAGCACCCCUCAAUCAACCCCCAAACACCCCCAAACACCCCCCAGGCACAG
ensembl:lncRNA